rnacentral:rRNA from 1 species
AACGAACGCUGGCGGCGUGCUUAACACAUGCAAGUCGAACGCGAAAGGGACUUCGGUCCCGAGUAGAGUGGCGCACGGGUGAGUAACGCGUAAGUAAUCUACCCCUGUAUUCGGAAUACCCACCGAAAGGUAGAGCUAAUACCGGAUACGUUUAUCUUGAUGCGAAUGAUGAUAAAGAAAGGUAGGCCUCUUCUUGAAAGCUACCGUACAGGGACGAGCUUGCGUACCAUUAGCUAGUUGGUAGGGUAAUGGCCUACCAAGGCGACGAUGGUUAGCGGGUCUGAGAGGAUGAUCCGCCACACUGGAACUGGAACACGGACCAGACUCCUACGGGUGGCA